rnacentral:rRNA from 1 species
AUUGAACGCUGGCGGCAGGCCUAACACAUGCAAGUCGAGCGGAUGAAGGGAGCUUGCUCCUGGAUUCAGCUGCGGACGGGUGAGUAAUUCCUAGGAAUCUGCCUUGUAGUGGGGGAUAACGUCCGUAAACGGGCGCUAAUACCGCAUACGUCCUGAUGUAGAAAGUGGGGGAUCUUCGGACCUCACGCUAUCAGAUGAGCCUAGGUCGGAUUAGCUAGUUGGUAGGGUAAAGGCUUACCAAGGCGACUAUCCGUAACCGGUCUGAGUGGGUGAUCGGUCACACUGGAACUGAGACACGGUCCAGACUCCUACGGAAGGCAGCAGUAGGGAAGCUUCCGCAAUGGGCGAAAGCCUGACGGAGCAACGCCGCGUGAGUGAUGAAGGUCUUCGGAUCGUAAAACUCUGUUAUUAGGGAAGAACAAAUGUGUAAGUAACUAUGCACGUCUUGACGGUACCUAAUCAGAAAGCCACGGCUAACUACGGG